rnacentral:rRNA from 1 species
AAUGGGCGCAAGCCUGAUCCAGCCAUGCCGCGUGAGUGAUGAAGGCCCUAGGGUCGUAAAGCUCUUUCGCCUGUGAAGAUAAUGACGGUAGCAGGUAAAGAAACCCCGGCUAACUCCGUGCCAGCAGCCGCGGUAAUACGGAGGGGGUUAGCGUUGUUCGGAAUUACUGGGCGUAAAGCGCGCGUAGGCGGACUAUUAAGUCAGAGGUGAAAUCCCGGGGCUCAACCCCGGAACUGCCUUUGAUACUGGUAGUCUUGAGUUCGAGAGAGGUAAGUGGAAUUCCGAGUGUAGAGGUGAAAUUCGUAGAUAUUCGGAGGAACACCAGUGGCGAAGGCGGCUUACUGGCUCGAUACUGACGCUGAGGUGCGAAAGUGUGGGGAGCAAACUGGAUU